UCCUCUCAAAAAAGGUCAGCUUAAACCAAAUAUUCUUGUGCUAUCAAAAUAAAGGGUAAGCAAGAUUUUUUCUCUCUUCACCUCUAAUUAAUUAAUUUGUUGGUUUUAUUUCUUAUUGUUGUGUGCCUCUUUAAUUUAUUUCUUGAUAUCUGUGCUUCUAUAUUUUGAACAAUCUCCAUUGUUUAGACAUAAAUUUUUAGGUUGAAAAUGUCUUUUAAUUCGGAAUGGCAGAGCUUAUUUUAGUUUUUACACGAUAAGACUUUUUGAAAAGCAAUAUAAUUGCACUGAGAUGUAAUAGCCAAACUAUUAGGUCAAUUAUUCACAUUCGGGGUGCAAGUAUAACAAUUUGAGAUGGUAAUCUAACGAAUUUUUUACUGAAAAGAUCUUAUAUUACAAGUAAAAUUAAAGUAAGCAUCAAUGUGAUUUUUUAAAUACUUGAGAGGUUUUUUUAAAUGCGUAAUGCUUUAUUAUUACGGGUAAUAUCUAUAUUGAAGUGGUAAUCUAUAGACACGAGUGCCCUUCUAUUUUUAAUACCAUGAUUCUAGUUUAUAUGAUAAAAAUCAUGAAAAGUCGAAAACAAUGCUAUGAAACUUCUAACAUCACUACUUAAUUGCUUAUUUCCAUAGGAAUUAUAAAUACAAGGAUGGAUUGUAAGCGGAUGAUGGCUUUGGAGCUUACUUGUAUUUUUUUCUUUAUAUUAUGUGCGAUAUCAGUAAAUUGUAAAAGAUAUCCGCCAUCAAUAGAAUAUGGUUGUUUUUUAGAAUGUCUUGACUAUUUAUUAGUGGAAAGAGGGUUAGAUCAUACUCCUCAAGCAGAAUUAGAAAGCAAAUGUAGAGAAGGAGUACCAGAAUUUAAUUGUGAGACUAAGCAAUUGUAUGAUGAGCAUCAGAUUAAGGUUUGUGAUGAUCCCAAACGUUUCCCAUGUGUUUCCCCAGUAGCAAGGUAAUUUCACAUAUG
rnacentral:lncRNA from 1 species